rnacentral:rRNA from 1 species
UACGUAGGGGGCUAGCGUUGUCCGGAAUCAUUGGGCGUAAAGCGCGUGUAGGCGGCCCGGUAAGUCCGCUGUGAAAGUCGAGGGCUCAACCCUCGAAUGCCGGUGGAUACUGUCGGGCUUGAGUGCGGGAGAGGCGAGUGGAAUUCCUGGUGUAGCGGUGAAAUGCGCAGGAUAUCAGGAGGAACACCGAUUGCGAAGGCAGCUCGCUGGAACGUUACUGACGCUGAGACGCGAAAGCGUGGGGAGCAAACAGG